rnacentral:rRNA from 1 species
AGUGAACGCUGGCGGUAGGCCUAACACAUGCAAGUCGAACGGCAGCACAGUAAGAGCUUGCUCUUACGGGUGGCGAGUGGCGGACGGGUGAGGAAUACAUCGGAAUCUACUUUUUCGUGGGGGAUAACGUAGGGAAACUUACGCUAAUACCGCAUACGACCUACGGGCGAAAGCAGGGGAUCUUCGGACCUUGCGCGAUUGAAUGAGCCGAUGUCGGAUUAGCUAGUUGGCGGGGUAAAGGCCCACCAAGGCGACGAUCCGUAGCUGGUCUGAGAGGAUGAUCAGCCACACUGGAACUGAGACACGGUCCAGACUCCUACGGGAGGCAGCAGUGGGGAAUAUUGGACAAUGUGCGCAAGCCUGAUCCAGCCAUACCGCGUGGGUGAAGAAGGCCUUCGGGUUGUAAAGCCCUUUUGUUGGGAAAGAAAAGCAGCAGGUUAAUACCCCGCUGUUCUGACGGUACCCAAAGAAUAAGCACCGGCUAACUUCGUG